GAUGAAUUAAUUCAACCUAACAGACAUAUACAGACACUCCCAUCCAACAACAAGAGAACACACGUUUUCCCAGAUGGGCAUGGAAUAUUUCCAAGGGAUAGAUCAUAUUUUAGGCCACAAAACAAGCCCUAACAAAUUUUAAAAGGCUAAAAUCAUACAAAUUAUCUUUUCUGAACCCAGUGAAAUUAAACUAGAAAUUAAUAGAUGGAGUAAAACUGCAAAAUUCACAAAUAUGUGAAAACCAAACAAUAAAACUAGGAGUAAAAACAAACUACCUCAACAUAAUACAGGCUGUGUAUGGAAAACUCACAGCUAGCAUCACACUCAUAGGUAAAAUACUGAAGCCUUUCCCCUCUGCCUGCCUCCCCUUUUGAGCAGGGGCCGCACACUGU